GGGUCCUUCCUGCCUAGUAGUAAGAGUAGCCUACAUGGAGGGGAGGGCAGCAGGCUAGACCCUGCCACAAACAAAACAUUUCCGAUCUAGAUAGCACACGCAAGAAGAAACACUGCUCAGAGCAUGCCAGUUACAGUAGACUCAUUAGGCUUGGCAAAGGGCUGGCUCCUCAGCCCUGGGCUUUUCUUGUAUAUUUUAAUUCAGGUACCGAGCCGCACCUGCAAACCCUGUGACAAAUGAUGUUUUAUUAACUUUGAAGAGUGCCAACUCAUUUCCUGGCUUCCAAGCCAACCUGACAACAUAGAGUCUUUCCAACAACCUAGUAGCAAAAUUUCAUAGAAUGUCCAAACUAUUUCAAGGAAUGAGCCCUUCUUAAUUUGUUAAUAGGUUCCGUGUCAAUCGGCUACGGUGGGAUAAAAGCCUGUCAUUGCAGACCCGACAGCCAAGUCAGAGCGGCUGCCCUCACCCUAUUGCCUGCCGGACUUCUUCCCUUGCCUGCAUUUUUCCUUCUAGUAAUGCUUUGUGUGACAAGCAGGGUUCUCUGGUGCUUUUCACACAGUUGGCUCUCCUGCCCGCCAACUUCUGGGUAUUUUUAUUUCACUCCCUUGAUGAUUUUAUUGGAUCAACACACCAAGCUGUGAGGUUUUCCAAACAUGAAAUGUCAAUGCAAACACAGAUAUAUCCAAAGUAGCAGCGUUCCUCUCUGCCAAUAGCAAGCAUCGCCACCACCACCACCACCCCCCACACACACACUCCACAUUUCCGCAGCUGAAAGAGCUACCCAGUUGGGCCUUUCUUUUCAGAAUUCUGCGUUAGAGUCACUGAGUCACAAUACACAGGGGUUCCGGUGUUGUCCUUGCUCUUAAAGGUGCUGAGCUCAUCAGAGAAGCAGGGAAACAACGUGCAUGUGUGUGAAGCAAUUCCCAUUCAGUUUUUAAGGGACAGAUCAGGGGCCUUAGCCUGCUUAGAGUGAAUCCAAGCAGCCUCAGGAUGAGAGAGAAUAGUCUGGAAAGCAUUUUGCCAGGCAUUGGACAGACUUAUCUCUGACACCUGGUAUAAGAACAAAGUUCAUCAAACAUUUGUCCAAUUCUCACCCUUACAUUGCCCUAGGAAAUUAUUUGAUUGACUCUUGUUUUUGCAAAGAAGUCUUAGCUUCCUGUCUGCAUCUGGGAUCGAGUUUCCCACAGUGCUGAACUCCUGGAAGCACAGCAGGAAUAUCUGAAUAUAUAGCCUUAAGGGUAAAGGCAUAAUUAUGGCAGAAGGCCCUCUGCUCAAUUCACAGCUUGGAUUGUUCCAUCCAAGACCCAGGUCUUCAAUAAGUUCCUCUUAUUGAAGAACUCCAUCAUCCACUCUCCACUACUGAAUGGAGAAGUCACCAAUUUCUUAAGACCUAUAAUUUUCAAGGAUGCUCAUGUUCAAGUUGGGAAAACAAUCAUUAUCAUUUUGUGUCUAUGUCUAAGAAAUUCAGCAAUAUCUGAGAUGGCUCAGAUGAAUCUUAUGAUCAUUUAUAUGUUUCUUUUAAUGGAAUACUAGGAGGGAAGGAAGGAGGGAAGAUCUGUAGGAAGGAAGGAAGGUAGGAAGAAGGGAGGGAAAGAGGGAAGGAGGGAGGGAGGGAGGAAGGAAGGAGGAAGAAGGGAGGAAGGGACCCUCACAGUGGUGCAGCAAAGCUAGGAUUGUCCCAGGGGGACCGUGGUUAGCUGACAAGAUUUUGAGCAUAUAGUUGUUAGUGUCUUUUUUGUUUGUUUUCAGAUUACAGGUACCCUUUUGGAAAAAUAAGAUAAUAAAGGCAAGAACAAAUUAAUGGAUGCUGAAGACUGUUCUGUUGUCUAAGCCUUUGGCCAAGUUGCUCUGUACUGUGCUCUCUAGAUCAGAGGUUCUCAACCUUGGAUGCACAAUAACAUAUGCUGAUGCCUGGGCCCCAUCCCAGCAAGUCUGAUUUGUCAGUCUGGGACCGGGCCUGGCCAUGGGGAAUUUUUUUUUUAAGCUCCAGGAGUCAUGCUCAGAUGGAGCCAGAGCUGACAGCCACUGCUCUAGAUGCUGCUCUGGAGUCAAGAGAAACAAUUUCCAUUAGUUACAAAAAUAGAAAUUUAUUCUUGUGAUGUGGGCUUCUUUCUUCAAAUGAACUAGAGAAGGGUGGACACUUUCUCAUAUAAAAUAAAUUCCCUUGCUUCUGUUAGAAAUCUUUCACCACCUGACUCUUUCAAGGAUUGGACCAUUGUCUCCAACAACCUAGCAAAACCUUAGCUGUCCAAGCAGAAUGACAGGACUCCAUGGUCAGGUUUCAGAACCUUAAGAACCUUACGAGUGCAAGGUCUGAGAAUAACUUCCUGAAAUGACCUCUUCAACUAUUAACUCAGAAAUCUUAUUUGGGACAAAGAAAAUAAGGAACAAAUUAGAAGAGAAACUUUCCAUCACAUUUACCCAGUUUUAACAUAAAAUAUCAUCUUAAUUUUAGUACUACCAAGAUAACAUUUUAGAUAGCAUGUUCUUCUAAUACCUUGGCUCCUUUUCAUUUGCAUUUGUGUAGUCAAUGAAGGAAAACAGGCGUGCCCAAUUUAUAGGUGAGCAUGUGCAUAGUUUCAGUGGUUUGUUCAAAGUCAAACAGUCAUUGACAGAACCAAGAAGUUGAAACUGUGUUGUGAUGUUCUUUCUGAUAUUUUACAAUUCAUACCAAAAAAAAUAUUUGACAGGUACUAACCUGAAGGCAUAUUUUAGGAAUCAUGAUUUAAGUCUAGAUCAUCACAUUCAAUGAAAUUUAAAAUAACCAAAGAAUAAUAAACCUGGAACAAAAUAAAUUCUGCAACUUGACAGAUAGAUCUCUAUAGUCUGUAAAGACAUAUACAAAUUGUAUUUGGCUUUACCCUGUAGUUAUUAUCACCAUUGAGUUUCAAAAUGAAUUUUGUUUCAUUAUAUUUAUAAUUUCCCAUAAUAGAUAUCUAAUACAAGUAUAAAAUCAUGUGACAAAUACUUAAGAAAACUUAGAAAACAGCCGUAAGGGGGAAAUUAUAAGUGAUUAUUUACUCUGGACUACUAGAAAUAGCAAAUUAGACUCUUUGAGCAUAGUGACUUCACAUAGUUUUUAGAAAAGAAACUAAAUACAUCUUACAUUAAUCUAUCUGGUACUGGCACAAAUCUAUUUUGCACUGGGACAAUAACAAAGUUUCCCCUCUUCCCUCCCCCCACACACACACACAAAAAUGCUCCCAAAAGAGGGAAUGGUGAAAAUAAUAAGAAUUAUUUCUCUCCCCUUUUUCUUGGUUUGUAGCAGAUAUGGAUGGCCAGAGUCCAAGCCCAGGAAGGUUUUCAGCUAUGGUUUCAGAUUGGGGGCCCAGGUCUCAGUACCUAUAAAUACUACUGUAAUAUCUUGAGUACUAUUAAAGGAAAGUGAACAUGGGGCCUCUGGUGGCUACAUACUUUAUCAGGGGUGAGGCAGGGGGAACUUACCUAUUUUCCCAAACUUAUUUCCAUUAAGAGUCAAAUAACAUAAGGUUCACUGAUCCAUAUCAUACAUACAUCAAAAGCAAUGAUAAUGUUG